rnacentral:sRNA from 1 species
CCCAGUUUUGGAAUUCAAGAACACCUAAGGAUUCCACUGAUUUGCUGAUCUGAAACUAGUACUAUGCUCUACAUAUAAUGGACCCUUAAUGAAUAUUAUUAAUUUAUUUUUCUUUACCUAUUUGCUAAUCAGAUACCUCUGUUGUGAAGAAAGGGUAAAAAUGUGUGUUUUUUAAAAAAAUGUUGGAAAUAACAUUAGAUUUAUAAUGCCAGCUCAAAACAGAGCUGACCAUUUCUCUUUCAUGUGUUGGCUGACAGGAGCUCGAGUAUAUUUAGCUUGCCGGGAUGUGGAAAAGGGGGAAUUGGUGGCCAAAGAGAUCCAGACCACAACAGGGAACCAGCAGGUGUUGGUGCGGAAACUGGACCUGUCUGAUACUAAGUCUAUUCGAGCUUUUGCUAAGGGCUUCUUAGCCGGUAAGUGUAGAACUAGAGAGACUAUGUUGUGGGUCUUGAGGUCAACAUGGCAGAUUCAACUAAAAGGAAAAGGUCCCUCUUCCUCAUAGAAGUGGUGGAUAAAAUAUAGCCAAAAACUUCUGAAGCUGAACUCAUAGUCACUGGGACACAAUUUAUGUCAAAGGGAUAUCUUCCAGAGGCAGAAACAAAAAAUGAAUUCAAAACGUCAUAGCAGUGAGCAAGAGCUGAAGCCAGAAAUCUCAUGGGAGUCUCAGCACUCAGUACAGGCUUUUUAGGGGCUGGGGUCUAAAUACUUACACAGGGAUAGGAGAUGAGGCCACAGGCCUUUGAGAGCUGGAGCUGUAUUUGAGGUUCUACACAAAGUUGAGAUUCACAAAGGGCCAUCUGGUCCAUAGUAUAGAAGCUAAUAAAAAUCCUGGCCACCAGCUCAGAGACAUGACAAAGAAGUUUACCAUCUCUUUAGACAUAGAUGGAUACUUAUCUGCAAAAAAUUAGAACCCAAGCUGGCAUCAUCUGUGGGGUCUGAAUUCGUACCACCAAAUGAUAUGAGGAUAUUUAUGGGUUUGAUUUUUGUAUGUGUGUGUAAUACUCUAUGGAAAAUUAACGUAAAAACCUGUAGUGUCUCAUCAAAAGCAAAUCCAAGAGCACUCUAUAGGCAUAUCCCCUUAUAGCCCAGGGAUCUAGGCCUCCAAGGAAAAAGCUUUCACUGGUGUGAACUCAUAGUCAUAAAUUACAAACCACAUGAGGAAAUGAACCAUGAGAGAGAAUUGGAAGAUGCAAUAAAGAGGUGAAGCCAGUAUUUAUUUCUUUGGGGACCUGAAUCCCAGGGCAGAGGUACAUAGAGAACAUUCUUUUUUCUCUUGCUUUGGAAUCUUUCCAUUCAGCUUGGGAAGUCUUUUUAUUGAGAGAGGUGGAUGCAACAAUUCCCGAAAGCAGUGAGUAAGUAGCUCCUGAACUACAAAGAUCUGGAAGGUCAUUUGGUAGUAUAAAAUGGAAUUUUGCCCCAUAGUAAAAGUAGGUGGGAUUCAACUAAAGUCUUAAAAUGAAAAACAGUAGAAAAUAAAUAUGAAGGAAAAAUGGAGGGAAGAUUGAAGUCCUGCAUCCUCAUUUUCAAAGCCUGAGCGUGAGGCAGCUUUCUAAGAUGUAAUAGCCUUGGCUAGCCACUUCCACGCUCCAUCGUCUUGUCCCUGCAGAGGAAAAGCACCUCCACGUUUUGAUCAACAAUGCAGGAGUGAUGAUGUGUCCGUACUCGAAGACAGCAGAUGGCUUUGAGAUGCACAUAGGAGUCAACCACUUGGGUAAGAAAUCUGGCCUUAUCACAAAGCUAGAGAGACCCAAAAUUCUCUUUGGGAAACUUAGGGGUCAGAUUGAGGCUUCUUGUUGUGUGAUUGAACCUCAGGACCAUAAUAGACCAUGUGUGCAUAAUAGUUUGGUCCUACCUGAUAGCUGAGGAAUACCUGAGGGCUGCUCCAGGUUCUGCCCGCUUUUUAAUCUGUGAUUUAGAUUCGGUUUGCCUUGGCACAUUUUUUAACAGACUAAUAGGUUUAGGGGACUGUGUUGCUUUCUUAGUAGUGAUCCUUGUGGCCAGCAUCAGGUAUAGGUCAUCUGCUCUUUUUUUGUAGAGACAGGGUCUUGCUAUGUUGCCCAGGCUGUUCUUAAACUCCUGGCCUCAGGCACCUUCCUGCCUCAGCCUCCUUAAGUGCUGAGAUUACCGGCGUGAGCCACCGCACCCAGCCAACCAGCUCUUAAGAAUGAGAUUAACCAAAGUAGGAAUGAGCUGGGACUUCAUAUUCACAUAGUCUAGACCUAUCUCGCUCAUAUAAGGAUGCCUCAUGUCUUCGGCUGUUGUUAUUUCCCUAAACCUUCAUUAAACUUGUUUUCUAGUUGAUAAUGAAAAGUUGGAGGGAAAGACCUUAUUUCUGAAUUAUCUGCCUCCCAUAGGUGAGGCCUGCUCACCACGACUCCUGUCAUUCCUACAUGGCCCUGAACUUCAUUAAUUCUAGUAUUUCUCAACAGGUCACUUCCUCCUAACCCAUCUGCUGCUAGAGAAACUAAAGGAAUCAGCCCCAUCAAGGAUAGUAAAUGUGUCUUCCCUCGCACAUCACCUGGGAAGGAUCCACUUCCAUAACCUGCAGGGCGAGAAAUUCUACAAUGCAGGCCUGGCCUACUGUCACAGCAAGCUAGCCAACAUCCUCUUCACCCAGGAACUGGCCCGGAGACUAAAAGAGAUGAAGAAAUGAGUCACAAAAGGGAACUUGCCCAAGGUUACACAGCUAAUGAGUGGAGCCAGGAUUUGAAACUGGGCAGUCUGUCUACAAAAUCCAUGCCCAUAACCACCACAUUGUGUUGACUCCCAGUGUGUCUGCAGUUCAGAGGAGCAGUUUGGACUGCGGACAAAAUGCUCUGGCGUUACGACGUAUUCUGUACACCCUGGCACAGUCCAAUCUGAACUGGUUCGGCACUCAUCUUUCAUGAGAUGGAUGUGGUGGCUUUUCUCCUUUUUCAUCAAGACUCCUCAGCAGGGAGCCCAGACCAGCCUGCACUGUGCCUUAACAGAAGGUCUUGAGAUUCUAAGUGGGAAUCAUUUCAGUGACUGUCAUGUGGCAUGGGUCUCUGCCCAAGCUCGUAAUGAGACAAUAGCAAGGCGGCUGUGGGACGUCAGUUGUGACCUGCUGGGCCUCCCAAUAGACUAACAGGCAGUGCCAGUUGGACCCAAGAGAAGACUGCAGCAGACUACACAGUACUUCUUGUCAAAAUGAUUCUCCUUCAAGGUUUUCAAAACCUUUAGCACAAAGAGAGCAAAACCUUCCAGCCUUGCCUGCUUGGUGUCCAGUUAAAACUCAGUGUACUGCCAGAUUCGUCUAAAUGUCUGUCAUGUCUAGAUUUACUUUGCUUCUGUUACUGCCAGAGUUACUAGAGAUAUCAUAAUAGGAUAAGAAGACCCUCAUAUGACCUGCACAGCUCAUUUUCCUUCUGAAAGAAACUACUACCUAGGAGAAUCUAAGCUAUAGCAGGGAUGAUUUAUGCAAAUUUGAACUAGCUUCUUUGUUCACAAUUCAGUUCCUCCCAACCAACCAGUCUUCACUUCAAGAGGGUCACACUGCAACCUCAGCUUAACAUGAAUAACAAUGACUUGGCUCAGGAGCAGGGCUUGCCUAGGCAUGGUGGAUCACCGGAGGUCAGUAGUUCAAGACCAGCCUGGCCAACAUGGUGAAACCCCACCUCUACUAAAAAUUGUGUAUAUCUUUGUGUGUCUUCCUGUUUAUGUGUGCCAAGGGAGUAUUUUCACAAAGUUCAAAACAGCCACAAUAAUCAGAGAUGGAGCAAACCAGUGCCAUCCAGUCUUUAUGCAAAUGAAAUGCUGCAAAGGGAAGCAGAUUCUGUAUAUGUUGGUAACUACCCACCAAGAGCACAUGGGUAGCAGGGAAGAAGUAAAAAAAGAGAAGGAGAAUACUGGAAGAUAAUGCACAAAAUGAAGGGACUAGUUAAGGAUUAACUAGCCCCUUAAGGAUUAACUAGUUAAGGAUUAAUAGCAAAAGACAUUAAAUAUGCUAACAUAGCUAUGGAGGAAUUGAGGGCAAGCACCCAGGACUGAUGAGGUCUUAACAAAAACCAGUGUGGC